rnacentral:sRNA from 1 species
UUUUAGCCCCGAUUGCAGUGGAAAUCCUCGCCUUUUUUGGCGAGAUUGCAACGGAAAGCGGGAAAAUGG